rnacentral:rRNA from 1 species
AUUGAACGCUGGCGGCAGGCUUAACACAUGCAAGUCGAGCGGAGAGAGGUAGCUUGCUACUGAUCUUAGCGGCGGACGGGUGAGUAAUGCUUAGGAAUCUGCCUAUUAGUGGGGGACAACAUUUCGAAAGGAAUGCUAAUACCGCAUACGUCCUACGGGAGAAAGCAGGGGAUCUUCGGACCUUGCGCUAAUAGAUGAGCCUAAGUCGGAUUAGCUAGUUGGUGGGGUAAAGGCCUACCAAGGCGACGAUCUGUAGCGGGUCUGAGAGGAUGAUCCGCCACACUGGGACUGAGACACGGCCCAGACUCCUACGGGAGGCAGCAGUGGGGAAUAUUGGACAAUGGGCGCAAGCCUGAUCCAGCCAUGCCGCGUGUGUGAAGAAGGCCUUAUGGUUGUAAAGCACUUUAAGCGAGGAGGAGGCUACUUUAGAUAAUACCUAGAGAUAGUGGACGUUACUCGCAGAAUAAGCACCGGCUAACUCUGUGCCAGCAGCCGCCGUAAAAC